rnacentral:lncRNA from 1 species
UUCUUUCUGUGUGUUUGAGUGUAGCAAAAAAAUUACACAAGUUUAUGUAUCCGCCUUUAUUCUUCUUCUUUUCUUUUUUUGAAAACUGGCCUAUUCAAAUUUAUUUUCCUUCUUAACUUAACACUCUAAUUCUUUUUGCAUGAUUCAGGUUGGAGAUGGUAUUUAAUAUUUUCCUGUUUCAAAACUUUUUUUUUUUUUGAAAAAAAGGCUUCCUGUUUCAAAACUUCAUUUUUCAAAAAAUGAAACUCAGACUGUCAACAACUUAUAAAACCGUAAGUAUACCUGAAUCUACUAUGUAUAAAUUAUAUUUACAAAUCUGUUUGUUAUUGUUUGACUAUUUUCAAAUAUAUUUUCUUAAUACAAAGCGUAUUCAACUACAGAGCGUAUUCAACUAUCUUACAAAUCUAUUUAUGAGUUUAUUGUAUACAAAUUGACUAUUGAAUUCAUGUUUUCUGUCUUAUCUUUGAUUUUCUAUGUUUUUUGGACCAUAAAGGUAGAGGAAAGAUAUGGAGAAGAAUCCCAACAGGUGUUGACAACAAAAAAAAAAUCCCAAUAGACAAGUUACAAAAAAAAUCCCAACAAACAAGUUCAAAAUAAUUUUUUUUUUCUUUUAUCACUAAUCGAGCAUUUAUAUUUCUACCGCAUCCAAAUAUCAAACUUAAGAAUAACUAUUUUCAAUACAUUUUAAUGUUUUCGUAAAUUUAU